rnacentral:lncRNA from 1 species
AAGGUUCUGUCUUUUUUCAUUCUUAGUUUAAUUGUGGUCUAUGCCAUGUAACCUUCUAAACCGGGAAUAAAGAAAGGGCUCUCUCAUGAAGUGGGAUGUUGCAAGUUUCUGGAGGGAGUGAAUGGUUAACAUAACAAAGAUUAAACUUCAUGAAGUACAGUUUUGGUUGCAAUUUCUCCCAUAGGGCCGACCGUCCUAACUCUCUCCUCUUUACUAUCCAUAACUCCUUUGGCGUGUAACUUAUGAUGACAUCAUUGCUUAUAUGUGCAGUUCUACACAUACGAAAGCUUGAAGCAAGUCAUGUUGACAUCACUGCAAUCACCUACUCAACUGAACACAUUACAGACUGUUUGUCUCUGACAUCCUCCUUUUUUUAAAUAACCUUGAUUUUUUGGCAAUUCAAUCUUAGUAUUUUUGGCUUCAACCUUCCAGAAUUGCACUUACGUCAGAGGUAAUGAUAUGAUCUUCUUACUGUGCCGCUAGUUUGUGGUGCCCUAUCUGGUUCAACUGCGGCUUUCUUUACAACUCCCUUUGAUGUGGUGAAGACAAGAUUACAGACACAGGUCUGCGAUCUCUUUGUAUUAUUUCAUUCCCUGUUUUUGUCUGUUCACGAAAAGUCUGCCA